GACGAACGCUGGCGGCGUGCUUAACACAUGCAAGUCGAGCGGUAAGGCCCUUUCGGGGGUACACGAGCGGCGAACGGGUGAGUAACACGUGGGUGACCUGCCCUCAGCUCUGGGAUAAGCCUGGGAAACUGGGUCUAAUACUGGAUAUGACUCCACGGUGCAUGUCGUGGGGUGGAAAGCCUUGUGCGGCUGAGGAUGGGCCCGCGGCCUAUCAGCUUGUUGGUGGGGUGANGGCCUACCAAGGCGACGACGGGUAGCCGGCCUGAGAGGGCGACCGGCCACACUGGGACUGAGACACGGCCCAGACUCCUACGGGAGGCAGCAGUGGGGAAUCUUGCG
rnacentral:rRNA from 1 species